CUGAAAUUUGAAAAAAUUCAGUGAAUCAUCGAGUCUUUGAACGCACAUUGCGCCCCCUGGUAUUCCGGGGGGCAUGCCUGUCCGAGCGUCAUUGCUGCCCUCAAGCACGGCUUGUGUGUUGGGCCCCCGUCCCCCUCUCCCGGGGGACGGGCCCGAAAGGCAGCGGCGGCACCGCGUCCGGUCCUCGAGCGUAUGGGGCUUUGUCACCUGCUCUGUAGGCCCGGCCGGCGCCAGCCGACACCCAACUUUAUUUUUCUAAGGUUGACCUCGGAUCAUGUAGGGAUACCCGCUGAACUUAAGCAUAUCAAUAAGCGGAGGAAAAGAAACCAACAGGGAUUGCCUCAGUAACGGCGAGUGAAGCGGCAAGAGCUCAAAUUUGAAAGCUGGCCCCUUCGGGGUCCGCGUUGUAAUUUGCAGAGGAUGCUUCGGGUGCAGCCCCCGUCUAAGUGCCCUGGAACGGGCCGUCAUAAAGGGUGAGAAUCCCGUCUGGGACGGGGUGUCUGCGUCCGUGGAAGCUCCAUCGACGAGUCGAGUUGUUUGGGAAUGCAACUCUAAUGGGUGGUAAAAUUUCAUCUAAAGCUAAAUACCUGGCCGGGAGACCCGAUCGCGCACAGUAGAGUGAUCGAAAGAUGAAAGCUCUUUGAAAAGAGAGUAAACACAAGUGAAAUUUGUUGAAAGGAAACCGUUUGCAACCUGACUCUCCCACAGGGGUUCACCCGGCAUUCAUGCCGGUGUACUUCCCCGUGGACGGACAAGCGUCGGAUUGGGCUGUCGGUCAAAGCCCACAGAAUGGAAAUAGCUCGCAGAGCGUGCCUUAUAAAGCAAG
rnacentral:rRNA from 1 species